GGGGCUGCAUUGGUUUCGACGGGGAGAAUGAAGUUUAAGAUGCAUGCCGUGCCUGAAUGAUGCACGUAAAUCUUAAUUCAAAUUGUUAUAGUUGCAAACGACGAUAACUACGCUCUAGCGGCUUAAGCCCGCUGGUGCGGCUCAGGGCAGUUGUUCGUGGCGCCUGAUGCCGUAUCGACUUACACGGAAUCGUAUUUACCGCGUGUUUGGGUAGGUAAAUACUAAACAGGACAAACUCGUCUUACGUGCUCCCUGACAGUCGGGAAACGUUAAGAUUAAACUAAUAGACUGUAUAAGCAUGUAGACUCUUGGAUGGAGUCUUUCCGGACGGCGGUUCGACCCCGCCCAGCUCCACCA
rnacentral:tmRNA from 1 species